GGACUACAGGCGCCCGCCACCACACCCAGGAAUCCAACUUGCUGUUUGCUAUCACAUGUGCUAUACAUGCUGUUGAUGAAACUGCUAAAGGGGCUGAAUGUGACUGACGUCUUUGGAAGGAUGAGACUUAGCGUGCCUGUACAGUUGUGUCCAAAUGCUGUCCUCAUCUCCCAAUGAAAAGGUAUUGUAAAUAAAGAGAAAGAUCAGAGGCUUAUUUUAAACACUAAAUAUGAGCUAGGAGCUGUCCUAGACACUAUGUAAAAGUUUUAUUUAGUUCUCACUGUAAUGUUGGCCUUAUGUUAGCAUCCCAUUUUUCAGACUGAGGAAAUUAUGGCUCAGAGAGGUUAAGAGACUUAUUG
rnacentral:lncRNA from 10 species